rnacentral:rRNA from 1 species
AACGUAGGAGGCGAGCGUUAUCCGGAUUUACUGGGCUUAAAGGGUGUGCAGGCGGUUGACUAAGUCGUGCAUGAAAGCCAUGUGCUUAACACGUGGAGGCUGUGCGAGACUGGUCGGCUAGAGGGUGUGAGAGGGAAGCAGAAUUCCGGGUGUAGUGGUGAAAUGCGUAGAUAUCCGGAGGAAUACCAGAGGCGAAGGCGGCUUCCUGGCACACUACUGACGCUGAGACACGACAGCAUGGGGAGCGAACGGG